rnacentral:lncRNA from 1 species
AAGAACUACAAAUUGAAUUAAUUCAUACUAAAAUAUGUAAAUUUUCCCUCGGUGUAGGAAAAAGAAGCUCAAAUAUGGCAGUGAUCGGCGAGCUUGGGAGAUACCCAUUAUUUAUUGAAAUUAUAGUCAAUAUGUUUUUAUACCUAUCACGUUUAGAAAAAACAGAAGACAAACUGUUGUCUGAAGCUCUCUCUGUAUCCAAGGCCUUAUCUAACCAGAAUAAGAAAAGUUGGUAUAAUUUUAUGAGCUCAC